rnacentral:rRNA from 1 species
GACGAACGCUGGCGGCGUGCUUAACACAUGCAAGUCGAACGAUGAACUUGGAGCUUGCUCUGGGGGCUUAGUGGCGAACGGGUGAGUAACACGUGAGUAACCUGCCCUGGACUCUGGGAUAACUUCGAGAAAUCGGAGCUAAUACCGGAUAGGACCUUGCACCGCAUGGUGUGGGGGGGAAAGUUUUUCGGCUUGGGAUGGACUCGCGGCCUAUCAGCUUGUUGGUGAGGUAAUGGCUCACCAAGGCGUCGACGGGUAGCCGGCCUGAGAGGGUGACCGGCCACACUGGGACUGAGACACGGCCCAGACUCCUACGGGAGGCAGCAGUGGGGAAUAUUGCACAAUGGGCGCAAGCCUGAUGCAGCAACGCCGCGUGCGGGAUGACGGCCUUCGGGUUGUAAACCGCUUUUAGUAGGGAAGAAGCCUUCGGGUGACGGUACCUGCAGAAAAAGGACCGGCUAACUACGUGCCAGCAGCCGCGGUAAUAC